ensembl:lncRNA
AUGCUUCUGCUUAAACUAAAUUUGAAUUUUUUUUGUUCCUCUAGAAGAAGCUCAAAGCUAAAAAGGUCUUCACUGAAAACAUUUAGAUGGUCGACACUAACAACUACUGAACUUUGCCCCAGUAAGUGUCCUCUUAAAUGGAGAGAGAGAGGGGGGAGAGAGACACAGAGCAGUGGUGAGUCAGAGAGGACAGAAGAAGACCACUGGAACAAGGAUCUCCCACUCAAAUCCGGUGCCUUAGUGCCACCAGGCGUCGCGGGGACUCGGGACAUCGAGGGGGGGGGGGGGGGGGAGGGAAGGCAGCGGCGGGUCAGAGCCUGCGCCUCCCGGCCCCGGGGGGACAUCGGCCGCGCCGGGGCCUCUGCUCUCCUCGGGCCCCCUGGACAAGUGGCACCACCAGGCGGACUCCGUCCUCACGGCGGCCCGGCUCGCUCGCAGAGGAUGGACGGAGGAGGGGACGAAGAUGGCAUGGGGGCCGGACCCCUCGCGUCGACCCCCCGCCUCCGGGUCAGAUGGGAAUCGGGCCUCGGAACGUGGCGCCGUUGGCCCGAAGGAACCCGGGGGCGGACGGGUUCGGGACGCGGAGACGGAAGCCUCGUUCUCGGCGGACAGACGGGCCGAGGGACAGACGGGCCUCCGCGUCGUGGUGUCCGUCCGCCGCGCCGCAUGCAGACAGCCGAGGAGGUUCAAGGCGCCGAGACUACCGGUCAUCGCUGA